ACCUGAGCCAGAAGUCGCUCCACUUUCUCUUGCACCAUAGUCUUGAGGUGAUCCAGGGUAUCAGGCAGCAGAUGAAUGGAAGGGGCCCCUUUGGCGGAUUCGAGAGCGGCGAUCCUCGCCUGGAGGUCGUUGGUUUUCACACCCAGGUACAGGCAAGACACCACGGCCACCACUGACAGGAGGGCCGCCAGGACGGCACACGGGGGCAUGGUCCGGGCACAAUGCUGUUCGGCAGGGGUCGGGUCCUCGGAUCUGGGCUCCCGGCCCCCUCCUUUCCCUGCGUGCUUCUUCAGCAGCAUCGUGGCGGGGUCGGCCGUCUCGGCUUCGCUUCCCACCCUCUACACCUCAAAUAAUCCUAAAAGGAAAGAAAAAGGUCGAUUCCUCCAAAGUUCAGUCCCUGUGGCUGCACAACUAGUUGGUGGAGUCAAGCCCACGAGCGGAUACGGACCCCUGCCUUGCUCAGCGUCCAGACCCGCAGGCGUGCACCAUCCCCGCUUUCUUCUCUCCUCCCAGCUGGAAGUGAAAAGCACCCUCCGUCCGGGGACUGGGUGGCGGUGGGGUAAAAAGCAAGACGAAACCCACCCAGACAGCUCUUCCGACUCCCAGAGGACCGACACCUCUUUCGAGGGCCCCAACAGUGGCCGCUCAGGGUCCGAGGGCAACGGCCGAGGCGCCACGCGGGGCCGCGGCUCGCCCUGGCCACGGAGGACCGGACCUGUUGCGCCUCUGUGAGUUUGCCUUAUUUCUACCUACUCGGUGUCUUUCGGCACGCCGACCUGUUUCCCACCUGCAUUCAGUUCAAGGCAAAAAGGCUGUGAGAGCACGCUACAGCGCAGCGCGAAAGGGGCGACUAAGGUGGAGAAGAGAGAGGAAAACGAAAUAAACCCAAGGAACCAAUGCUACUCGCGAAGCCGAAGUCGCGGCUGCCCGAAGGAUCUCCGCAGCCCCGCGUGCGCGAUCCUUAAAUACCCUUCGCGAUGCUCGCGAGUGAAGAAGCCACUGGGAGCCACUCCCUCUCACUCACCGAACUAUGGGAGUAAAGAAGCUGCAACAUUUCUGGAGGCUCGUCCAGGUCUUCAGAAGGGUGAGUAAGAGCAGACCUGUGACCCUUUACUUUCAUUUCUGAGGACUCUCAU
rnacentral:lncRNA from 1 species